UCCUACGGGGGGCAGCAGUGAGGAAUAUUGGUCAAUGGGAGGGAUCCUGAACCAGCCAAGCCGCGUGAGGGAAGACGGCACUAUGGGUUGUAAACCUCUUUUGUCGGAGAACAAAACCGGGGACGUGUCCCGGACUGCGUGUAUCCGAAGAAAAAGCAUCGGCUAACUCCGUGCCAGCAGCCGCGGUAAUACGGAGGAUGCGAGCGUUAUCCGGAUUUAUUGGGGUUAAAGGGGGCGUAGGCGGUCCGUUAAGUCAGGGGUAAA
rnacentral:rRNA from 1 species